UGAGGCCUAUGAUGUUUUAAAGAUUUGCCUACAUUGUCCGACUUUAAUAUUUUUAUUGCUCAUGAUGGAGAAAAGUCAGACUCUGAGGCCACA